rnacentral:misc_RNA from 1 species
AACGCACAUUGCGCCCACUGGUAUUCCGGUGGGCAUGCCUGUCCGAGCGUCAUUUCAACCCUCGAGAACCCCUUUGCGGGGGGGAUCGGUGUUGGGGCUCGGCCGUCCCCCGUGGCGGCCGUCCCCUAAACUCAUUGGCGGUCUCGCUGUAGCCUCCUCUGCGCAGUAACUUACAUUCUCGCAGGCGGAGAGCGGCGCGGCCACGCCGUAAAACCCCAACUUUUACAAGGUUGACCUCGGAUCAGGUAGGAAUACCCGCUGAACUUAA